rnacentral:rRNA from 1 species
GGAUUAGAUACCCUGGUAGUCCACGCUGUAAACGAUGAGUGCUAGACGUUGGGGGGAAACCUUCAGUGUCGCAGCUAACGCAUUAAGCACUCCGCCUGGGGAGUACGGUCGCAAGAUUAAAACUCAAAGGAAUUGACGGGGGCCCGCACAAGCGGUGGGGCAUGUGGUUUAAUUCGACGCAACGCGAAGAACCUUACCAGCUCUUGACAUGGGGAUUCUGGGUUUCAGAGAUGAGACCCUUCAGUUCGGCUGGGUCCCGCACAGGUGCUGCAUGGCUGUCGUCAGCUCGUGCCG